UACGUAGGCAGCGAGCGUUGUUCGGAGUUACUGGGCGUAAAGGGUGUGUAGGCGGUUUUCUAAGUUUGGUGUGAAAUCUCCCGGCUCAACCGGGAGGGUGCGCCGAAAACUGGGAGACUGAGAGUGCGGGUAUGGGGAGAGUAGAAUUCCUGGUGUAGCGGUGAAAAUGCGUAGAUAUCAGGAGGAAUACCGGUGGUGUAGACGGCUCUCUGGACCGCCACUGACGCUGAGACACGAAAGCGUGGUAGCAAACAGG
rnacentral:rRNA from 1 species